rnacentral:lncRNA from 1 species
GCCAUGAAAUACUACAUAGUUUGUUUCUCAGCAGCUGUAUCAUGGUCCAAGAUCCAGCUAUUCAGGAUAUCUAGCUGAAGAAGUUCACAAGAAGAAAGGUUCCUAAUACCAUUUGGCUGUGUGGGAAACACAGCAAAAUUGACACUGUUAGUCUGUUUUCUGAAGAUGUAUGUUUUGGUUGAAUUGCACAGAAAGACCACCAUUUCGCUGAAAUUCUGCAGUUGGUCAGUGAAAAGAUAUCAGCUCAUUCAGAACAAUUCAUUAUUGUUAGAAAUCUACAAGAACAACCCAUUCAGAGUACAGCUGGAACAAGAGAAGUAAUCAGACUACGAAUUUGGAAUUUAUAGAGAACUUGAAAAUGAGAACGGAAACUACAAAUUAUAAUUUGAAGGGUCAGAAGCUAAUAAUAAUUUAAAUGGAACACUGGAUGAAGAGAACU